ACCCGUUCCCAUCCCGAACACGGAAGUUAAGCUCUUUUGCGCCGAUGGUAGUUGGGGGUUUCCCCCUGUGAGAGUAGGACGUCGCUGGUC
rnacentral:rRNA from 1 species